UACGAAGGGGGGCUAGCGUUGCUCGGAAUCACUGGGCGUAAAAGCGCACGUAGGCGGCUUUCUAAGUCAGGGGGUGAAAUCCUGGAGCUCAACUCCAGAACUGCCUUUGAUACUGGGAAGCUCGAGUCCGGAAGAGGCGAGUGGAACUCCGAGUGUAGAGGUGAAAUUCGUAGAUAUCUGGAGGAACACCGGUGGCGAAGGCGGCAUCCUGGACCGGUAUUGACGCUGAGGCGCGAAAGCCAGGGGAGCAAACGGG
rnacentral:rRNA from 1 species